UACGAAGGGGGCUAGCGUUGCUCGGAAUCACUGGGCGUAAAGCGCACGUAGGCGGCUUUCUAAGUCAGGGGUGAAAUCCUGGAGCUCAACUCCAGAACUGCCUUUGAUACUGGAGAGCUUGAGUCCGGGAGAGGUGAGUGGAACUCCGAGUGUAGAGGUGAAAUUCGUAGAUAUUCGGAAGAACACCAGUGGCGAAGGCGGCUCACUGGCCCGGUACUGACGCUGAUGUGCGAAAGCCAGGGGAGCGAACGGG
rnacentral:rRNA from 1 species